AAAUUUGAUAAGUAUGCCCCCAAUUCUGUCAUCCAAGACAUUGAUAAAAGACGUUGAAUAGUACUGUGCCCAGGACAGAACCCUGUGGGACCCCACCGGUCACUUGUCUCCAGUGUGUUGAGCAGUGUUCCCAGUGAGUUUUCCUGCAUCUAACUGGAUUAUAACCUCUUGGAUUAAAAACCUCUACCUGUCCCCAAGAAGUUGUACUACUCAAAUAGCAUCUCCGCAAACAGAAAAGGACCUUUAUUUUUUUAAAGUGCUGCUGGGAAUAAAACCGUAUCAUGGAGACCAAAGAUAAUGCCAUUUUGCAAGUGGCAUUAUCUCUAAAUAGACCACUUCUCAAAAGUUAUACACAAGGCAGCGCUGUCUCUUCUCACUUGGUAUGCAUGUUCGUCUUGCAGCUGUAGCUUCAGGGAAUUGUUGCCUUUUAAACUCUGAGUGAGUUUCCCCCCCUGCCCGUUGUCCCUUGUGGCCUACGCACAUCCUCUUGUGGAGGAGUUGCUUUGGGGUUUUUCUCCCCCUUUUGUAAAAAACAAAACAAAAACGAGGGUUGUGUAACUGCUGCAGUGAUGCCUUCCCUGAUGUGGUUUCUAUGCCAACCCAAUGCAGUACUGGGCAAAGCAAAGUGGAGAGGAGUUUGCUCAUGAAGUGGCUCAGGCUGGGGCAAAAUCACAAUAGGGUUUUCUGAACUUCCAGCUGUUUUCUAUAGAUUAGGGGUGGACAACCUGUAGCCUGCAGAUUUUAUUGGAUGGGCUAGUGAAGGAUGAUGAGUUGCAGUCCAGUGGGCAUUUGACAAGGCUAUGUGAUCCCCUGCUCUGCUAUAGAUAAACUAAAUUACCUGCCUACUACAUUGUUCUGCCUUGCAACAUUCAAUUAUCCAUGUUAAAUGAAAUACAAGUUAGAUGCAGGGUGUAAGGAAUCUGCCUAUUUCUUCAUUUCUUGAGAUCUUCUGGAUAUGUUACAGAGAAUGGCUGAGAUAGCCUUUCACUGAGAUGCAUAGAUUCCUUUCACUUUCAAGCUCUAUAAUUCCAGUAGUUAAUCAGUGUUUGCAAACUACAGGAUAAGGUAAGUAUAGGCUAUACAGUUUCUAAGAGGGCUCUUCUUCACAGCUGUCCCUGCUGGAAAGAUUAUUUCUCAUGGGUACCGCGAAGGAUCUGGCCAAAGGCUGGCAUAUUUCCAUCACUUAAACUUCUACUUGUAGCUCAUACAGCUGGCAUUCUUCAGUGCUGUGAAAGGGAGUGAUUUUAGGAUUCCCAUAUUUUUAAAUCCUAAUCUGGGCCAGAUUCCAAAGUUUAACAGUCAUUGUAGGAGGAAGUUAUUGACUUGUCGAUGGUAUUUACAAACCUGUAACAAAAGGAGAAUCCUAAAUCUGGAACCAGCUAAACAACUCCAUCUCUGCAAGAGGGAGAGCCUUUCUCAGCAGAGACUGUUGAGAAUCUGUUGAGAGACUCUUGAGGAUCUGGGUCCUGAGUGCAGGCGAGAGAACGAAUGAUGCUCUUCUAAGGAGGCAGCCCUCAUAAAGCAUCCUGUAAGGACAAUUCAGCCCCCUAGGCCCUGCAUGUUGCCUACUCCCAAGAUACACAAAGAGAUGGGAGGAUGGAUCACCUUCUCUAGCCUAUCUGGCUUCAGAACAGCAUUAUGACUGUAUUGUCAUUUCACUUCAAGUUGUUGUACCACUUUCUCCUACCCAGCACCAGUUGCCAAACUAUUUUGGUGCCAAGAACCAAAAACACUCCCUGAAUAUGAUGUGUAUUGUCUGCAAAUGGAUGAUUCCUUACUGUUAAUUUGAUGUUUUUGGAAAUUUAAUAAAAUGGAAACCCUCAAUAAUC